rnacentral:rRNA from 1 species
CAGCAGCCACGGGAAUACGGAGGGAGCUAGCGUUGUUCGGAAUUACUGGGCGUAAAGCGCGCGUAGGCGGUUACUCAAGUCAGAGGUGAAAUCCCAGAGCUCAACUCUGGAACUGCCUUUGAUACUGGGUGUCUUGAGUGUGAUAGAGGUAUGUGGAACUCCGAGUGUAGAGGUGAAAUUCGUAGAUAUUCGGAAGAACACCAGUGGCGAAGGCGACAUACUGGAUCAUUACUGACGCUGAGGCUCGAAAGCGUGGGGAGCAAACAGGAUUAGAUACCCCUGUAGUCCCUGUCUCUUAUAC